rnacentral:piRNA from 1 species
CUGAGAAUGUUGGUAUACUAUUUUGC